rnacentral:rRNA from 1 species
AAAACUUUCAACAACGGAUCUCUUGGUUCUGGCAUCGAUGAAGAACGCAGCGAAAUGCGAUAAGUAAUGUGAAUUGCAGACACCGUGAAUCAUCGAAUCUUUGAACGCACAUUGCGCCCUUUGGUAUUCCGAAGGGCAUGCCUGUUCGAGCGUCAUU